rnacentral:lncRNA from 12 species
GGGGGGGGGGGGGGGGGGGGGGGGGGUCUGGCCCAGGAUUGACAGCCCUGCUGAUCAAUCACACAGCGCUCUCCCUUAUUCAAGGGUGGGUGCGCAGCGGUCGCCGAGACUCUCCGGCCGGGCCUGACGUGGCCGCGAUGGAGGCGCCGCAGGAUGACCGGGCAGGGGGAGCGGGCGGUCCCCGGGCCCGGGAGGCCUCAGCCUCAGCAGUCGAGGGGGCGAGAAGCCGCCCCGGGCCUGGUCAGCGCCCGCCAGGCAGCAGCCGAACGUCUCAGAGCCGCUGGAGCUCGGCUGGCGCUUCUCCCCACGCAGUGGGGUCCCACGUUUUCUUUCUUGGGGCUGCUCGGCCGGAGCUCCAGCCUUGAACUCGGGUGGUGCUGGGGUGCUCAGACCCAGAGCAGCUUCUGCUGGAAACCUUCAAAACGCACCCGGACGAGUUCUGUGUCAUCUGCUGCAGGUGUGGCAACUUCUGAUGAAUGGAUGAAGGGUCAUGGAAGAAUGCACAGGUGAG